rnacentral:rRNA from 1 species
GUCCUGGCAGUAAACGGUGCACGCUUGGUGUGAGGGGAAUCGACCCCCUUGUGCCGGAGCAAACGCGUUAAGCGUGCCGCCUGGGAAGUACGGUCGCAAGACUAAAACUCAAAGAAUUGACGGGGACCCGCACAAGCGGUGGAGUAUGUGGCUUAAUUCGAUGCAACGCGAAGAACCUUACCAAGGCUUGACAUGGAUUUCUAAGCACGUGAAAGCGUGUGACCCUUCGGGGAACUUCCACAGGUGCUGCAUGGCCGUCGU